rnacentral:rRNA from 1 species
CCUACGGGUGGCAGCAGUGGGGAAUAUUGGGCAAUGGGCGCAAGCCUGACCCAGCAACGCCGCGUGAAGGAAGAAGGCUCUCGGAUUGUAAACUUCUUUUGACAGGGAAGAGUAGAAGACUGUAACUGUUCAAUAAACCACGGCUAACUACGUGCCAGCAGCCGCCGUAAUACGUAGGUUGCAAGCGUUAUCCGGAUUUACUGGGUGUAAAGGGCGUGUAGCCGGGUUGACAAGUCAGAUGUGAAAUCCGGCGGCUUAACCGCAGAACUGCAUUUGACACUGUUGAUCUGGAGUACAGGAGAGGCAGGCGGAAUGCCUAGUGUAGCGGUGAAAUGCGUAGAUAUUAGGAGGAACACCAGUGGCGAAGGCAGUCUACUGGACAGUAACUGACGUUGAGGCGCGAAAGCGUGGGGAGCAAACAGGAUUAGAUACCCGAGUAGUC